rnacentral:snoRNA from 1 species
NNNUGCAGGGAAAGGAACUGCUGAAAGCAUUUUCCCGGUGUUUGGAGGGUUCAGUCCUGUCCCUUCUGAACUCUGGAGCUGUCACACA